GGGAGAUGCUCGUACUGAUGGGGAUGAGCUUGGGUUGGGGGUAGACAUGGAGCAGCACCAAGGAGGUGGCGGUGGGGUCUCUGGGGAACUUGUGCAGCGCCCACAGCACCAUCGCCUUGGAGUCGGACCCGGCCCCCACCGCCACGUACACCUUCUUCAUCUUCUCGCCAGACUCGGAGGAGGACUGCUCCGGCUCCGGCGAGUCGCAGGCCGCGUCCAUGGCAGAUAGAUAGAGCAAGGAAUUGCCCAACAGUGCCACUGCAAUUUCCAUGGCAUGGCAGGAGCUAGCUGUGCUGUGCUUGCCUUUCUCAUGGAUGACUGACUGACUAGUGACUAGUACAAGUCCUCUCUGCUUCACUUCACCUCCCUCCUCUGUAAGCCUUCUUCUCUGCUCCUCUCCUCUGCUUUCGUGGUCAGCUUCUGGUUGCGCACCACCUGUUUGUUCAAAUGCCCAGCCCAUGUUCUCGCUCAACUCAAGGAAGAUAGAUAGGUAUCUUGGAGGAGUAGGCCCUUAAUUGGUUGUUUGGCAUGCAACUGCCUAAUCCUGUCUUGUAAGCCGUUUGUUUGGGAAUGUGAAAGCGAUACACCUUUACUUUGAAGUUAGCGGUAGUGGAUUGGGGCUAAAUUGUAGGUCAGUCAGAGCAGCUAAAUGAUUUUGCCUACGCAGUUUCCGCUGACCUGGCAGACGUAGUACAGAUAAUAGUGUGCUCAUUAUCUCCUGAAAAAUGGCAUGCCUGUAUCUGCAGUAAGAAUCGAACGUGCAUAGCUAAUUCAUGAGUAAUCACAUUAUUAUAAACCGUCUGUGCUCUGAUCUAUCUGAUUGCUCAUUUACUGUAGUUUUUUUGGGGACCACGCUGAUUUGACUCUAACUCUCAACUUUGCAUAACUGAGAGGGAAUUAAAAUGUCCAUACACCAUCACUUUUCAAUGUACCUGAAUACCCACUCUCUCUUGGAGAGUUACAUGCCAUGUCAGUUCAUCCCAAGAACAUGUGACCGAAAACAUGUACAUCACUUCUCGUUUGUGGGCCCAAACAUUGAGAAAGCGCUAACUGCUAAAGUGGGGGAAAAUGAAUUCUCUACAGACUAUACAAACUUGCAAACCAUUUGCUUCACUUCCUAACACGACUGCGCAGAUCAAAUGGAAGGUUAAAAAUCACGGUUGCUGUUGCAUUUGCCAUUCUUGAAUUGCAAAACGAAGGGCAUUGUUCGGCAUUAACUCAUGGUGUGUGAAGCUGAGGUAGGUCAUGGGGGACAUUUUAUGCCCCCUUUGAAGCCAGUCCUUGAUGGCCUCACCUUCAUAUGUGAAUCCAUCGGCAGCAAUGUGUGGAUCCCUCAUGAUCUCCUGAAAAUGUUACAAAGAUGCAAGAUUAUCAAACUAAAGAUGAAAAACGUUGGUGGCUUGCAUUUAUCAUCUGGACAGUUCAUCAUAGCUUGCAGGAUACCCCAGGCUUCAUUUGCAAGAUUAGGCCGCUCCUUCCGUUCAUACCGGCAACAUCUCAGUGCUAGUCUUGCCAACUCUUCAGUGUACUCAGGUGGCCAUUCCCCUCCAGAAGUAUCAAUUAUAUCUUGCAACAUGUCAUUGCUCAAGGCUGCC